rnacentral:lncRNA from 1 species
GGUGGGGGAGCCAGCACUGCUAGAAAGUCCUGUACGUGAGGAACUCUUUCAUCUUCUUGGGGAUUGGCAGUACUAGGACUUGAUACGUUGUCAGGAAACUUCGGAGGGCUUUUCUGCAUAAGUGCUUCAGUGAGGACAGGACCCGGGGGAGCUGUCCAGAACUGGACAUGGCCAUCUCUCGUCCCUGUGGCAAUAAUUCCACCGUGUGGGAAGAACGUGCAGCAAAGACCAUUGGUCAUCGGAGCAAAGGCAACCGGAGCCUUCAGUUCCAGAGCCCAGAUCCUGAGCAGCCCGUCAUCUGUCACUGUAGCAAGAUACAAGCCUUCGGGUGAGAAGCACACGGACCUCAGGGAGCUCAUGUGGAUGUCACUGUCAUCCAUGGCGGGUUCAAGCUGCGUGUGAUGAAGUGACCUCAGCCUUUCUUCGGUGUAGGGGUCCCACAUAAUCACACUGGUGUCAUACGAAGCUGUAAUAGGCAAGGCGGAAUCAGGAGAGAAAUCACAGGAGACAACACUGCUUUAGUGGCCUUCUAGUUUCCGGAUUAGUGUGUAGGACCGCAUGCUCCACAGAAAGACCUGCUUAUGCGAAGCGUCUUAUCCCGGGAUGCAGAGACCAAAAUCAAACUGCCGCUGGGCGCGAAGCUCAGAUCUCUCACGCCGUCUUGGUGGCCAGAAAGAUUCGAAGCAGGAGCCCUGUCUGUACCUCCCAAAUCUUGAUCUGCCCAUCGUUGAGACCUGUGGCCAGGAUCAGGCAAGAGACAUCAGGCGCCUGGAGAUGGUGAUGUGCCCAGGGUUUCCUGCUGGGUGGAGAGGGCCACGGGCUGAAGGCCAGCCCCCACACAAUCUGGCCACACUCCAGCGUCUUCUCCUUCAGACUGCCCCGUCCUUUUGGGUCAUUCUUGCUGCUUCGGCUCUUGACUUCGAAUCCUUUAGGGAUGAACUGUUCCUCUAAGGGCCAGGGGACCAGCUUGACCACGCAGUGUCCUUGAGACCAGGCGAACCAGGAACUGUCUGGUGAGAAGGCCACGCUCCAGGUCUAGCAGCUUGACUUCCAGUCGAACUGGUGGAGGCGCCCAGGCUUGAGUUCAGCCAGGAGCAGCGGCUCCUCUCCGGCCUCCAUGAGGACAGGACGCAAGGUCCUCCUCAGGCGGCGGGCGCCUCAGCCCCCAGGGCCGUGGGCCUUCAUUCCGCCACGUUUCGUUUUUUAAACACAGGGUCUCUCUGUGUAGGUCUGGCUGUCCCAGUCCUUCUAAAACAUUUGCACCACUUGAGGACGAGGCAUUCAAAUGUACAAGCCUAUUGGGCAUCCUCACUCACACCACCACAGAUGGUAUGGAGGCCUAGCUCCCUGGGACUGUGAGCCCAGGCAUACCCCUUCUUCUUCCUUAGGUCACAGUGCUUUAUCACCGCAACAGAAAAGUAACCAACUCGCAUGCACAGAUACUUAAAAAAUACUUAUUUUUAUGUUUUGACCGUUUGUAUGUAUAGGUAGCACAUGUGUGUAACGCGCAAGGCAGCGUUGGAUCCCCUGAAAUGGAUUUAUAAAGGUUGUGAGCUGACGUGUGUAUACUGGGAAUAACACCCAAGUCUUCAGAAGGGGAAGUAAAUGCCCCCCCCCCCCCACUAAUACUUAUAGCCUUCCUUCUGAAUGUGUCUUCAUGUAAAUCUAGCUACUCGUGUGAGUACAUCUGAUAAUAAAAAUAAACCUUAUAUUUACAUUUGUUAUAACAAGAAGUUACUUAUAAACAUUGGGGGAAACUUGAAAUUAACAUGUCCGUAUACUAAAAGUUACCUCUGCUGUUCCAAAUCAUCCUUUUAAUUGGACAUUUCUAGUUCUGACUUCUUUUCUGCCCUACAGAAACAAUACUUCAACAAAGGUCUCUUUAUUUGUAUUCUUAAGCUUGAUGAUGCUUUAUUUCUGUGGAUCAGGCUCCCAAGUGAGAAUGGGUGAUUAAAUAGUUUGUAAUUGCUGGUUUGUUAGUGGAAGCAUAUGCUACACAGCCUUUAAGUAAGAGCACGCGGCUUCCCUAAAGCCUACCCUCAAAGGAAGGUUAACUUUUGCCAACUCCGUGAAGCAGACGGUUCAGUUCAUUAGCUUUUAUUUGCACUUCCCCCUGGGCGCUGACUAGGUUACAAUCUUCUCAGAGGCCACAGGCAUUUGCAGUUCCACUUAGAAGGCAUUCAUUCUAGAUGUGUUAAAAGCUUUCUCCAGUGUGGGUUCUUUGAUGUGGAAUAAGGGUGUCUAACGCUAACGCUAACGCUAACGCCAACGCCAACGCUAACGCUAACGCACCCACGCACGCCCUUGCCUUCACUCCAGUAGAAGUUUUCUGACUCGCCUCGAGAUUUGCCACUUUGCUGAAUACCCUCCCAUAGUCAGUACAUUUAUAUGGCUUCUCCCCAGUAUGAACCCUCCGAUGUACAGUUAAAUGUGAUUUUAUUCUGAAGGAUCCCCUACAUUCAGAACACAGGUAGGGGGUUUUCUUCCUAGAAAUGACUAUGCUGAUGUAUUAAUGAGGGAUGAGAACACGACGGCCUCUCCACAGUCACGGCAUUCACAGGGUCUCUCUUCUGUAUGGAUUCUUUGAAGAACAUUAAAAAUUGUGGUAUCCUUGGAAGAUUUUCCACAC